UGCCUCAGUAACGGCGAGUGAAGCGGCAACAGCUCAAAUUUGAAAUCUGGCUCCUUCGGGGUCCGAGUUGUAAUUUGCAGAGGAUGCGUCGGGUACGGGUCCCUACCGAGUUCCCUGGAACGGGACGCCAUAGAGGGUGAGAGCCCCGUCUGGUAGGAUACCCAGCCCAUGUGACGCUCCCUCGACGAGUCGAGUAGUUUGGGAAUGCUGCUCUAACGGGAGGUAUACUCCUUCCAAAGCUAAAUACCGGCUGGAGACCGAUAGCGCACAAGUAGAGUGAUCGAAAGAUGAAAAGCACUUUGAAAAGAGAGUCAAACAGCACGUGAAAUUGUUAAAAGGGAAGCACUCGCUACCAGACUUGGGUUUGGCGGUUCAACCGGGGCCACGCCCCGGGGCAUUCCGCCAGCUCAGGCCAGCAUCAGCUUUCCGUCGGGGGCAAAGACGUCGGGAAUGUGGCUCCCCCUCGGGGGAGUGUUAUAGCCCGGCGUGUCAUACCCUUCGGGGGGCUGAGGUACGCGCUUCUGCAAGGAUGCUGGCGUAAUGGUAGCUAGUGACCCGUCUUGAAACACGGACCAAGGAGUCAACCUUAUGUGCGAGUGCCCGGGCGUAAAACCCCAGCGCGGAAUGAAAGUGAACGUAGGUGAGAGCUUCGGCGCAUCACCGACCGAUCCUGAUGUCCUCGGACGGAUUUGAGUGAGAGCAUAUAGGGUUGGACCCGAAAGAAGAUGAACUAUGCGUGUGUAGGGUGAAGCCAGAGGAAACUCUGGUGGAGGCUCGCAGCGGUUCUGACGUGCAAAUCGAUCGUCAAACAUGCGCAUGGGGGCGAAAGACUAA
rnacentral:rRNA from 1 species